rnacentral:lncRNA from 1 species
AUUAUAUAAGUAACUCACUUGAUUUGCUCUAUAUUAUACAAAAGAGAAGAAAAGAUAAAAAAAUGCAAAUCUAAUUUUUGAAUCACUUAAAAUAAUAUGAUAUAUAUUAUUAUUAUUAUUAAUAAUAUGAAAUUAUAUACUUCUCAUCAUUUUGUGAGAUUUUAGGCAAAUAAGCCCAAAUGUGAAAGAAAGUCACGAUGGCCCAAAUUAAAUUAAAGGAACUUGUGUGCUUUGUCAUGAGAAAAGCUGAAGCUUGAGAUCAAGUGGCAGGGGCGGCUAGCAUCACAACACAAAAGAGAUUUCAAGUUGAAAAUGUCUGACAACUCAAACACAAGUGGCUGAGGCGGUGAAGCAAUGGAAAGUCUUAAAACUUAAGAAAUCAACACAGGCGGUGAUUGAAACUAUAAAUUGAGCUUCUUGGUUUCAAUUGAUAUUAUGCUUUCUUCUGUUCUGUAACACGGCUGAGAGAGGAAAAUUGGAGAAGCUUUGGAUUGAAGAUUG